AAUAAACGCUGGCGGUGUACUUAACACAUGCAAGUCGAGCGAGAGGACUCCUUCGGGAGUUAGUAAAGCGGCGGACGGGUGCGUAACACGUGAGAAUCUGCCCUUCAGUGAGGAAUACCCUUGAGAAAUUGAGGUUAAUACUGCAUACGUCCCUCCGGGGAGAAAGAUGGCAUUUAUGCUGUCGCUGAAGGAUGAGCUUGCGGACUAUUAGCUAGUUGGUGGGGUAAAGGCCUACCAAGGCUUUGAUGGUUAGCCGGCCUGAGAGGGUGUACGGCCACAUUGGGACUGAGAUACGGCCCAAACUCCUACGGGAGGCAGCAGUGAGGAAUAUUGCGCAAUGGGCGAAAGCCUGACGCAGUGACACCGCGUGGAGGAUGAAGGUCUUCGGAUUGUAAACUUCUGUUAAGUGGGAAGAAAGGCCUCUCUCUAAUACAGAGAGGAUAUGACGGUACCAUUAGAGAAAGCACCGGCUAACUUCGUGCCAGCAGCCGCGGUAAUAC
rnacentral:rRNA from 1 species